rnacentral:rRNA from 1 species
AGCGUAGGCGGUCAAGCAAGUCAGGGGUGAAAGGCAUCGGCUCAACCGAUGUAAGCCUUUGAAACUGUUUGACUUGAGUGCAGGAGAGGAAAGUGGAAUUCCUAGUGUAGCGGUGAAAUGCGUAGAUAUUAGGAGGAACACCAGUGGCGAAGGCGACUUUCUGGACUGUAACUGACGCUGAGGCCCGAAAGCGUGGGGAGCGAACA